rnacentral:rRNA from 1 species
UACAGAGGGUGCGAGCGUUUAAUCGGAAUUACUGGGCGUAAAGCGUGCGUAGACGGCUAUCUAAGUCGGGUGUGAAAGCCCCGGGCUCAACCUGGGAAUUGCAUCCGAUACUGAUUGGCUAGAGUAUGAGAGAGGGAGGUAGAAUUCCACGUGUAGCGGUGAAAUGCGUAGAUAUGUGGAGGAAUACCGGUGGCGAAGGCGGCCUCCUGGCUUAAUACUGACGCUGGAGGUGCGAAAGCGUGGGGAUCAAACAGG